rnacentral:lncRNA from 1 species
UCCUUUCUCGCAGUUCCCAGAUGAGAGAAUAGACUCUUGAUUCUUCCAGUCCUUGAAGUCCAUGUGACACUUGUUUUCAAGAAGAAAGGGAAUCUUCCCAAUUAAUACAUUAAUACAUUGGCCUCUAGGUUCUUUGGCCAUUGAACAAAUUGUUAAAUUCUUAUUCCUCCUGGUGGUGAAUAAAAAUGUGAAAAAUAAAAUUGGCAAUUAUAGUUUAACCACCAGGGAGAGGAAGAAAAAUGAUUAACUGAUUAGUCAUUUGUUGAAGCUUGUUAAGAUUCAAUAGGUAUAAAUGAUGUAGAAUUAAAAAAAUCAGUUUGGUAGUUAUUUUCAUUCUGUUUUUCUUGUGAGCAUGAGUAAACUUUCCAGAAUCUGAUGAAUUAUCAGUACUGAAUGAUACCUAAUUUACAAGCAAUGCCAUAAUUACCUAAGUUUUUAAAUUUGCUUUUUUCUCAGAGUUCAAGUUGACAUGUAACAGGUUCACCGUGUCAAGAAAUUCUUCCAAUUCUAUCCUUGGUUUAUUCUGAUGGCAAAUUUGUCUUGGGCAGCUCCCCUAGAAGGCAAGUGUCUUAUAUGUCCUUCUGUUCUGUCUAGAUUACAGAAUUCAAAACACUUGUGUGACAGGUAAAACUGUAGCCCAUCAUUCAGACGGCCUUUUCUUUUUGGUGCUCUGUAAAUUCAGCUCUAAAAUCAAAUAGAUAGAUGGAUCUAUCCUUCAGAUGGACAUGCCAUUAUAGAACCACGAAGGAUAAAGACGGGCAUGUGUAUCAACUUCCCUCUAUACAUUAACAUUUUUAACUCUGAUCAUUUCCAGAUCCUAUAAUUAUAAAUCACUGAGAUGGAUUUUUGAGUGUAAUUUACUAGAGCCAUAAUUCUUGAUGAGAUUGCAACAAGCGCAUCAGCCUCUUUGAUUAAUCAGAGCAUGUGUUCCUGUCAAUGAUUGAGCCUCCGAAGAAGUCCUAUUUAUAUAUAUCUUUGUGUCCUUUCUCACCUGUAAAUGCAUCAACUUCAGAGAAAAAUAUUCCUCCCUUCCAUAUUUUUUACUCCUUUUUAUAGUACUGCUCCCCCGACCACUGCACUGCUUUAGCACCCAGUGGACACCUGCUUAACAGUGAGUGACGACACUUUUCUCUUUGGGGUGCAGUUGCCUUUAGAGAAGUAAUGCCAGAAUUUCAGUAGUGUGCUCUAAGUGUGACACUAAUCCAGAAGCUGUCGGUGAUGGUGGCUUAGGAUAGUUUCCAUAUGACUUGGCAGUGAUUUCCUUUAUUUCUUUUUUUUUUUUUUUCUUCACCUACCACAACUAAUAGCAAGUCUAGUUAGUAGCUCUACCCUUAACCCACUGUGCUGGGCUGGAGAUUGAAUCUGCCCCUACUCAUCAGUCAGAGCCACUGCAGUCAGAUUGUUAACCACAGCAGGAAUUCCAGAGCUUUGUUUUAAAUCCAACUAGUCCCAGAGUUCCCGUUGUGGUGCAGUGGAAAUGAAUCUGACUAGCAUCCAUGAGGAUGUAGAUUCAAUCCCUGGCCUCACUCAGUGGGUUUAGAAUCCAGCAUUCCCAUGAGGUGUGGUGUAGGUUGCAGAUAUGGCUCAGAUCCCGUGGGGCUGUGGCUGUGGUGUAAGCUGGCAGCUGUAGCUCAAAUUCAACCCCUAGCCUGGGAACCUCCAUAUGCUGUGGGUGUGACCCUAAAAAGGCAAUAAAUAAAUAAAUAAAACUAAAUGAAUCCAACCAGUUCCAACUGCAUAUUAAGAUCAACUCGCCACCACAUUCUAGACAAGUUCUUUCCCAUCUGCUCCCAACCUAUUACUUAGACUGGGACCCGCCCGGCUAAUCUUUAUCCUCUUUUCCAUCAGCCUAAAUCAAAGAUUCGUUCCUUAUUAGUUUAUCUCGGCUAAUAUUUAUUUAAGACCUACAGUGUGCCAGGCAGGCACUGUUCUUGGGCUGGGAAUAAAACAGUGGAUAUAAUGAAGUCUCGGCUCUCAUGGAUUUAUGUUCUGUGGAAAUCUUAGACAGUGAGAGCUGGGUGAGUGGCUAAGAUUCACAGCAGUGAGUGAAGUGCUCUUUUAAAUAGUGUUGUGGGGAGAUUUAAGCAAAGACCUGAAAGAGGUGAAAGAGUAAACUCUGGGGCUCUCUGGAGGAAUCUCUCUGCAAGUUCAAAGACCCUGAGCCUGGACUGUGCUUGGAGGAUCAAGGGAAUUUCAGUCCAGCAUGGUUUGAGCUCGUCCAGUAUAAGGAAUGGGAGACAGGUCAGUGAGAUCAGGAGGCAUCGUGGUAAGAACUUGGGGUAUCUUCUGUUCUGAGAGAGUUGAGACACCAGUGGGGGCUUCUGAACAGAGUAGUUCCAAGUUGCCAUGGAUGUAGGAUGAGCUCCCCUGGUUGCUGUGUGGAGAAGGGGCUAGAGGGGGCUGGGAGUGGGAACAGGUGGCUGGUAGGAAGUUAUAGAAGAAAUUCUGGCAGGAUAUUAUUGUGUUGAUGAGAAAUGAUCAGUUUAUGGGUAUGUUAACCAACAAGACUUGGUUUUGGAAGUGGGGAUGGAGAGAAGGUGAGGAGUCAAUGGUGAUUUUGGUGUUUUCAGCCUAAGCAACUUGGAAAGUGUAUUUACCAAAAUGGGGAAAUUGAUUAAGAUCAGGUUGGCAGUGGUGGUGGGUACUGGGGUAUAUUUAGAGUUCAAUUUUAAAAAAAUUUUUUUUAAAUGUUAUUGAUUUGCUUUUAGGGCCAUACUUGUGGCAUAUGGAAAUUCCCAGGAUUGGGGUUGAAUAGGAGCUGUAGCUACUGGCCUAUGCCACAGCCACAGCAAUGCAGGAUCCGAGCCACGUCUGCUACCUACACCACAGCUCACAGCAACACCAGAUCCUUAACCUACUGAGCAAGACCAGGGAUCGAACCCACAUCCUCAUGGAUACUAGUCGGGUUCAUUUCUGCUGAGCCACAACAGGAACUCCAAGAGUUCAAUUUUGACUGAACUCCACAUGGAAAUGACAGGCACGUAGCCGGAGAGGUGAAUGUGGAUUUAUGGAGAUAACUGAGGUCUGAAAAUACGCAUGUGGAAUUGCUGUGCUAUAGGUGGUAUUUGAAGUCAUAGAACUAGAUGAGGUUACCAAGGAGUGGUUGUAGAGAGAGGAGAAAAGAGAAAAGGAAGAAUUAGAAGGGGAGGGGCAGGGAUAGAAGGGGUUCAUGGGCUUAAAUCCUUAGAAACUCAGAGUAAGUCUUACUUCAUUUUCAAAACUUCUCAUUAUCUAGGCUAUACCUAUAUUUGUAUUUCUUGCUUUUCCUACACCAUUUGUAACAAUGUGAUGGAAUUUAACAUUCAAAUAUAUUCUGUGGAAUUUUGUAUAUUACUGGAAUAUUCAUUGGAAUAAAGGAAUAGUCACUGUUUAUGUGCCAGGUACAGUACUAGGCACUGGUGGCAAAAUAAUGGUGAAAUAGACAGGAAGCUUCUCCAGGGAUUUUCAUCCCAGUGGAGUAACUAUGUAGUGAUAUAGAAUAUAGUAUGUACGUAGAGUAUAGAGUUACUAGUAUAUAGUCUCUACCUAGAGUAUAUAAUGACAUAGUCUUUUUUUUUUUUUGUCUUUUUGCUAUUUCUUGGGCCACUCCUGCGGCAUAUGGAGGUUCCCAGGCUAGGGGUCGAAUUGGGUAGCUGUAGCCGCCAGCCUACACCAGAGCCACAGCAAUGCGGGAUCCGAGCCGCAUCUGCAGCCUAAACCACAGCUCAUGGCAACGCCGGAUCGUUAACCCACUGAGCAAGGCCAGGGAUCGAACCCGCAACCUCAUGGUUCCUAGUCGGAUUCGUUAACCACUGAGCCAUGACGGGAACUCCUGUGACAUAGUCUUUAGUCCAUACAUGGAGUAUAGAGUGACAUAGAAUGUAGUCCAUACAUGGAGUAUAGAGUAAUACAGUCUGUAGUCAGUGCAUUGAGUACAGAGUGAGAAACUAUGUAGUCUGUACAUGGAUUAUAGUGUGAUAUAGAAUGAAGUCUGUACAUGUAUGUAGUCCAUAUAUACAGCAUAUGCUCUUUGCAUAUAGUAUAUAGUGAUAUAGCAUUGGUGAUUACUAAUUAUUAGAUCCAUAUUUUCUCCUUCUUUAUUGACAUUUCCUCGGUGGUAUUAACUCUAAAGAAUGAGAAAGAGUUAAACAUGGAUAAAUACAUCAUUCCUUUGAGUAUUUGAUAAAUACUCAAAGAAAUAUUUUUAAUAUGUACAAGUACACAUUUUAAAAUUUGCUCUGAACAUUGCAUAUUUAAUCUGUGCAUGGCAUGUGUUUUGUUGUAAUGACAAGUAGCAUCUGUUAAAAGUGAUUCUCCAUAAUGCUGUUCCAGCUUAGCUAAUUUUUUUUCUUGGCUGUACCUGUGAUAUGGAAGUUCCCAGGCUCACCACUGAAUCUGAGCUGCAGCUACAUCUUACACCAUAGCUGCAGCAACACCAGAUCCUUAACCUGCUGUGCCACAGUGGGAACUCUGGCUCGGCUAAUUCUUAAUGGUUUCCCCCAUAUUUCUCUAUUCAAAUAGCUCUGCCCUUCCUGGGAAGAGCCAACCUGAUUGUGCCAUCCUCAAUCCCCAAAGAGCCCAACCUUGAUUUCUCGUCCCUCUGCUUUACCACUCUGUUCCACUGCCGAGUAGAAGUGUUCUCAGGCUGCCUUUCCCUGUCCCCAUUCCCCAUCCAAGGCUUGGCUCUCUGCCUCAGGUGAGUAGCCAGGCAGAGGGGUCAAUGCCAGCUACAGAGGUGAGGAUAACAAAGGCCAUUCCAAAUUUAGCGAAUCCUAAUUUCUUAGGGUGGGGCCUAGGAAUCUGAAAUUGACAAGGAGCUGUAGGGGAUUCUGAUACAAACUAAGGUUUGAGGGCCAUUGAAGUUUGGCAAGACAGAUAAACUGGACGGCCCAGGCUGGCCAACCCCUGUAGUAUGAAGAGUAUGUUAGGUGAGAUUAGACAGGCUGUGUGGACUGGCCUACUGAGUUUUUUGCAGCCCCUUUAGUUUUGUGCUUCAAGGGAGUCCCUCACUUACCUCACCCUAGUCCUGGCCCUGCUUGGAAUCUGUGUACAACCAGAGAAGGCAGAAUCAAACACUGGUUAAGAGUAUGGGAUCAGAGUUCCCGCUGUGGUGUAACAGGAUCAGCAGAAUCUCUGGGGUGCUGGGAUGAAGGUUUGAUCCCUGUCCUGGCACAGUGGAUUUAAGAUCCAUUGUUGCUUCAGCUGUGGCAUAGGUUGCAACUGAGGCUCGGAUCUGAUUCCUGGCCUGGGAACUCCAUUGCCACAGAGCAGCCAAAAAAA